rnacentral:rRNA from 1 species
AUUGAACGCUGGCUGCAUGCCUUACACAUGCAAGUCGAAUGGUAACGGGUCCUUCGGGAUGCCGACGAGUGGCGAACGGGUGAGUAAUAUAUCGGAACGUGCCCAGUAGUGGGGGAUAACUGCUCGAAAGAGCAGCUAAUACCGCAUACGACCUGAGGGUGAAAGGGGGGGAUCGCAAGACCUCUCGCUAUUGGAGCGGCCGAUAUCAGAUUGGCUAGUUGGUGGGGUAAAGGCCUACCAAGGCAACGAUCUGUAGUUGGUCUGAGAGGACGACCAGCCACCCUGGGACUGAGACACGGCCCAGACUCCUACGGGAGGCAGCAGUGGGGAAUUUUGGACAAUGGGCGCAAGCCUGAUCCAGCAAUGCCGCGUGCAGGAAGAAGGCCUUCGGGUUGUAAACUGCUUUUGUCAGGGAAGAAAAGCCCCGGGUUAAUACCCUGGGGUCAUGACGGUACCGUAAGGAUAAGCACCGGCUAACUACGUGCCAGCCGCCGCCGUAA